rnacentral:rRNA from 1 species
AUUGAACGCUGGCGGCAUGCCUUGCACAUGCAAGUCGAACGGCAGCACGGACUUCGGUCUGGUGGCGAGUGGCGAACGGGUGAGUAAUAUAUCGGAACAUACCCUAGAGUGGGGGAUAACGUAGCGAAAGUUACGCUAAUACCGCAUACGAUCUAAGGAUGAAAGCGGGGGAUUUUAGGACCUCGUGCUCGUGGAGUGGCCGAUAUCUGAUUAGCUAGUUGGUGGGGUAAAGGCCCACCAAGGCAACGAUCAGUAGCUGGUUUGAGAGAACGACCAGCCACACUGGAACUGAGACACGGUCCAGACUCCUACGGGGGGCAGCAGUGGGGAAUCUUGCACAAUGCGCGAAAGCGUGAUGCAGCAACGCCGCGUGGGGGAAGAAGGCCUUCGGGUUGUAAACCCCUUUCAGUUGGGACGAAGCUUCGCCGGUGAAUAGCCGGCUGGAGUGACGGUACCUUCACAAGAAGCCCCGGCUAACUACGUGCCAGCAGCCGCCGUAAUAC